UGGGGAAUUUUGGACAAUGGGCGAAAGCCUGAUCCAGCAAUGCCGCGUGUGUGAAGAAGGCCUUCGGGUUGUAAAGCACUUUUGUCCGGAAAGAAAUCCUUGGCUCUAAUACAGUCGGGGGAUGACGGUACCGGAAGAAUAAGCACCGGCUAACUACGUGCCAGCAGCCGCGGUAAUACGUAGGGUGCAAGCGUUAAUCGGAAUUACUGGGCGUAAAGCGUGCGCAGGCGGUUUGCUAAGACCGAUGUGAAAUCCCCGGGCUCAACCCGGGAACUGCAUUGGUGACUGGCAGGCUAGAGUAUGGCAGAGGGGGGUAGAAUUCCACGUGUAGCAGUGAAAUGCGUAGAGAUGUGGAGGAAUACCGAUGGCGAAGGCAGCCCCCUGGGCCAAUACUGACGCUCAUGCACGAAAGCGUGGGGAGCAAACAGGAUUAGAUACCCUGGUAGUCCACGCCCUAAACGAUGUCAACUAGUUGUUGGGGAUUCAUUUCCUUAGUAACGUAGCUAACGCGUGAAGUUGACCGCCUGGGGAGUACGGUCGCAAGAUUAAAACUCAAAGGAAUUGACGGGGUCAUAGCUGUUUCCU
rnacentral:rRNA from 1 species